rnacentral:rRNA from 1 species
CCUACGGGUGGCAGCAGUAGGGAAUAUUGCUCAAUGGGGGAAACCCUGAAGCAGCAACGCCGCGUGGAGGAUGAAGGUUUUCGGAUUGUAAACUCCUUUUGUUAGAGAAGAUAAUGACGGUAUCUAACGAAUAAGCACCGGCUAACUCCGUGCCAGCAGCCGCGGUAAUACGGAGGGUGCAAGCGUUACUCGGAAUCACUGGGCGGAAAGAGCGCGUAGGCGGGAUAGCCAUUCAGAUGUGAAAUCCUGUGGCGUAAACAUAGAAUUGCAUUUGAAACUGUUAUUCUAGAGUAUGGGAGAGGUAGGUGGAAUGCUUGGUGUAGGGGUAAAAUCCGUAGAGAUCAAGAGGAAUACUCAUUGCGAAGGCGACCUGCUAGAACAUAACUGAUGCUGAUGCGCGAAAGCGUGGGGAGCAAACAGGAUUAGAUACCCCAGUAGUC